UGUUUUAAUAGCUUAUGUUUAAAGUGUAAUAUUGAAGAUAUUAAGAAGGUUUUUUUAUCCUUAAAAUAU
rnacentral:tRNA from 1 species